GCAGGGGCUUCUGCUGAGGGCGCAGGCGGAGCUUGAGGAAACCGCAGAUAAGUUUUUUUCACUUUGAAAGAUAGAGAUUAAUACAACUACUUAAAAAAUAUAGUCAAUAGGUUACUAAGAUAUUGCUUAGCGUUAAGCUUUUAACGUAAUUUUAAUAGCUUAAGAUUUUAAGAGAAAAUAUGAAGACUUAGAAGAGUAGCAUGACGAAGGAAAAGAUAAAAGAUUUCUAAAACAUGACGGAGGUUGAGAUGAAGCUUCUUCAUGGAGUAAAAAAUGUAUUUAAAAGAAAAUUGAGAGAAAGGACUACAGAGCCCUGAAUUAAUACCAAUAGAAGGGCAAUGCUUUUAGAUUAAAAUGAAGGUGACUUAAACAGCUUAAAGUUUACUUUAAAAGUUGUAGGUGAUUAAAAUAAUUUGAAGGCGAUCUUUUAAAAAGAGAUUAAACCGAAGGUGAUUAAAAGACCUUGAAAUCCAUGACGCAGGGAGAAUUGCGUCAUUUAAAGCCUAGUUAACGCAUUUAAACGCAGACGAAAAUGGAAAGAUUAGUUGGGAGUGGUAGGAUGAAACGAUUUGGAGAAGAUAGAAGUUUGAAGUGGAAAACUGGAAGACAGAAGUACAGGAAGGCGGAGAAAAGAAUAGAGAAGAUAGGGAAAUUAGAAGAUAAAAACAUACUUUUAGAAGAAAAAAGAUAAAUUUAAACCUGAAAAGUAGGAAGCAGAAGAAAAAAGACAAGCUAGGAAACAAAAAACUAAGGGCAAAAUGUACAAACUUAGAAGAAAAUUGGAAGAUAGAAACAAGAUAGAAAAUGAAAAUAUUGUCAAGAGUUUCAGAUAGAAAAUGAAAAACAAGCUAAGACAAGUAUUGGAGAAGUAUAGAAGAUAGAAAAAUAUAAAGCCAAAAAUUGGAUAAAAUAGCACUGAAAAAGUGAGGAAAUUAUUGGUAACCAAUUUAUUUUAAAAGCCCAUCAAUUUAAUUUCUGGUGGUGCAGAAGUUAGAAGGUAAAGCUUGAGAAGAUGAGGGUGUUUACGUAGACCAGAACCAAUUUAGAAGAAUACUUGAAGCUAGAAGGGGAAGUUGGUUAAAAAUCACAUCAAAAAAGGACUGGUGUAAUUUAAAAAAAAACUAAGGCAGAAGGCUUUUGGAAGAGUUAGAAGAAUUUGGAAGGCCUUAAAUAUAGUAGCUUAGUUUGAAAAAUGUGAAGGACUUUCGUAACGGAAGUAAUUCAAGAUCAAGAGUAAUUACCAACUUAAUGUUUUUGCAUUGGACUUUGAGUUAAGAUUAUUUUUUAAAUCCUGAGGACUAGCAUUAAUUGACAGCUGACCCAGGUGCUACACAGAAGUGGAUUCAGUGAAUCUAGGAAGACAGCAGCAGACAGGAUUCCGGGAACCAGUGUUUGAUGAAGCUAGGACUGAGGAGCAAGCGAGCAAGCAGCAGUUCGUGGUGAAGAUAGGAAAAGAGUCCAGGAGCCAGUGCGAUUUGGUGAAGGAAGCUAGGAAGAAGGAAGGAGCGCUAACGAUUUGGUGGUGAAGCUAGGAAAAAGGAUUCCAGAAAGGAGCGAGUGCGAUUUGGUGAUGAAGCUAGCAGGCGGCUUGGCUUGGCAACCACACGGAGGAGGCGAGCAGGCGUUGUGCGUAGAUAGAGGAUCCUAGACCAGCAUGCCAGUGUGCCAAGGCCACAGGGAAAACGAGUGGUUGGUAAAAAUCCGUGAGGUCGGCAAUAUGUUGUUUUUCUGGAACUUAUGGUAACCUUUUAUUUAUUUUCUAAUAUAAUGGGGGAGUUUCGUACUGAGGUGUAAAGGGAUUUAUAUGGGGAACGUAGGCCGAUUUCCGGGUGUUGUAGGUUUCUCUUUUUCAGGCUUAUACUCAUGAAUCUUGUCUGAAGCUUUUGAGGGCAGACUGCCAAGUCCUGGAGAAAUAGUAGAUGGCAAGUUUGUGGGUUUUUUUUUUUUUUUUUUUUUUUUUUACGAAUUUGAGGAAAACCAAAUGAAUUUGAUAGCCAAAUUGAGACAAUUUCAGCAAAUCUGUAAGCAGUUUGUAUGUUUAGUUGGGGUAAAUGAAGUAUUUCAGUUUUGUGAAUAGAUGACCUGUUUUUACUUCCUCACCCUGAAUUCGUUUUGUAAAUGUAGAGUUUGGAUGUGUAACUGAGGCGGGGGGGAGUUUUCAGUAUUUUUUUUUUGUGGGGGUGGGGGCAAAAUAUGUUUUCAGUUCUUUUUCCCUUAGGUCUGUCUAGAAUCCUAAAGGCAAAUGACUCAAGGUGUAACAGAAAACAAGAAAAUCCAAUAUCAGGAUAAUCAGACCACCACAGGUUUACAGUUUAUAGAAACUAGAGCAGUUCUCACGUUGAGGUCUGUGGAAGAGAUGUCCAUUGGAGAAAUGGCUGGUAGUUACUCUUUUUUCCCCCCACCCCCUUAAUCAGACUUUAAAAGUGCUUAACCCCUUAAACUUGUUAUUUUUUACUUGAAGCAUUUUGGGAUGGUCUUAACAGGGAAGAGAGAGGGUGGGGGAGAAAAUGUUUUUUUCUAAGAUUUUCCACAGAUGCUAUAGUACUAUUGACAAACUGGGUUAGAGAAGGAGUGUACCGCUGUGCUGUUGGCACGAACACCUUCAGGGACUGGAGCUGCUUUUAUCCUUGGAAGAGUAUUUCCAGUUGAAGCUGAAAAGUACAGCACAGUGCAGCUUUGGUUCAUAUUCAGUCAUCUCAGGAGAACUUCAGAAGAGCUUGAGUAGGCCAAAUGUUGAAGUUAAGUUUUCCAAUAAUGUGACUUCUUAAAAGUUUUAUUAAAGGGGAGGGGCAAAUAUUGGCAAUUAGUUGGCAGUGGCCUGUUACGGUUGGGAUUGGUGGGGUGGGUUUAGGUAAUUGUUUAGUUUAUGAUUGCAGAUAAACUCAUGCCAGAGAACUUAAAGUCUUAGAAUGGAAAAAGUAAAGAAAUAUCAACUUCCAAGUUGGCAAGUAACUCCCAAUGAUUUAGUUUUUUUCCCCCCAGUUUGAAUUGGGAAGCUGGGGGAAGUUAAAUAUGAGCCACUGGGUGUACCAGUGCAUUAAUUUGGGCAAGGAAAGUGUCAUAAUUUGAUACUGUAUCUGUUUUCCUUCAAAGUAUAGAGCUUUUGGGGAAGGAAAGUAUUGAACUGGGGGUUGGUCUGGCCUACUGGGCUGACAUUAAUUACAAUUAUGGGAAAUGCAAAAGUUGUUUGGAUAUGGUAGUGUGUGGUUCUCUUUUGGAAUUUUUUUCAGGUGAUUUAAUAAUAAUUUAAAACUACUAUAGAAACUUCAGAGCAAAGGAAGUGGCUUAAUGAUCCUGAAGGGAUUUCUUCUGAUGGUAGCUUUUGUAUUAUCAAGUAAGAUUCUAUUUUCAGUUGUGUGUAAGCAAGUUUUUUUUUUAGCGUAGGAGAAAUACUUUUCCAUUGUUUAACUGCAAAACAAGAUGUUAAGGUAUGCUUCAAAAAUUUUGUAAAUUGUUUAUUUUAAAUUUAUCUGUUUGUAAAUUGUAACUGAUUAAGAAUUGUGAUAGUUCAGCUUGAAUGUCUCUUAGAGGGUGGGCUUUUGUUGAUGAGGGAGGGGAAACUUUUUUUUUUCUAUAGACUUUUUUCAGAUAACAUCUUCUGAGUCAUAACCAGCCUGGCAGUAUGAUGGCCUAGAUGCAGAGAAAACAGCUCCUUGGUAUCUCUUCGUUAUCAGAAGAGUUGCUUCAUUUCAUCUGGGAGCAGAAAACAGCAGGCAGCUGUUAACAGAUAAGUUUAACUUGCAUCUGCAGUAUUGCAUGUUAGGGAUAAGUGCUUAUUUUUAAGAGGUGUGGAGUUCUUAAAUAUCAACCAUGGCACUUUCUCCUGACCCCUUCCCUAGGGGAUUUCAGGAUUGAGAAAUUUUUCCAUCGAGCCUCUUUAAAAUUGUAGGACUUGUUCCUGUGGGCUUCAAUGAUGGGAUAGUACACUUCACUCAGAGGCAUUUGCAUCUUUAAAUAAUUUCUUAAAAGCCUCUAAAGUGAUCAGUGCCUUGAUGCCAACUAAGGAAAUUUGUUUAGCAUUGAAUCUCUGAAGGCUCUAUGAAAGGAAUAGCAUGAUGUGCUGUUAGAAUCAGAUGUUAUUGCUAAAAUUUACAUGUUGUGUUGUGAUGUAAAUUGUGUAGAAAACCAUUAAAUCAUUCAAAAUAAUAAACUAUUUUUAUUAGAGAAUGUAUACUUUUAGAAAGCUGUCUCCUUAUUUAAAUACAAUACUGUUUGUCUGUAGUUUAGUGUUGGGGCAAUCUUGGGGGGGAUUCUUCUCUAAUCUUUCAGAAACUUUGUCUGCGAACACUCUUUAAUGGACCAGAUCAGGAUUUGAGCGGAAGAACGAAUGUAACUUUAAGGCAGGAAAGACAAAUUUUAUUCUUCAUAAAGUGAUGAGCAUAUAAUAAUUCCAGGCACAUGGCAAUAGAGGCCCUCUAAAUAAGGAAUAAAUAACCUCUUAGACAGGUGGGAGAUUAUGAUCAGAGUAAAAGGUAAUUACACAUUUUAUUUCCAGAAAGUCAGGGGUCUAUAAAUUGACAGUGAUUAGAGUAAUACUUUUUCACAUUUCCAAAGUUUGCAUGUUAACUUUAAAUGCUUACAAUCUUAGAGUGGUAGGCAAUGUUUUACAUUAUUGACCUUAUAUAGGGAAGGGAGGGGGUGCCUGUGGGUUUUUAAAGAAUUUUCCUUUGCAGAGGCAUUUCAUCCUUCAUGAAGCUGUUCAGGAUUUUGAAUUGCAUAUGAGUGCUUGGCUCUUCCUUCUGUUCUCCUAACUUCACAGAGAAUGCAGUUGUCUUGACUUCAGGUCUGUCUGUUCUGUUGGCAAGUAAAUGCAGUACUGUUCUGAUCCCGCUGCUAUUAGAAUGCAUUGUGAAACGACUGGAGUAUGAUUAAAAGUUGUGUUCCCCAAUGCUUGGAGUAGUGAUUGUUGAAGGAAAAAAUCCAGCUGAGUGAUAAAGGCUGAGUGUUGAGGAAAUUUCUGCAGUUUUAAGCAGUCGUAUUUGUGAUUGAAGCUGAGUACAUUUUGCUGGUGUAUUUUUAGGUAAAAUGCUUUUUGUUCAUUUCUGGUGCUGGGAGGGGACUGAAGCCUUUAGUCUUUUCCAGAUGCAACCUUAAAAUCAGUGACAAGAAACAAAUUCCAAACAAGCAACAGUCUUCAAGAAAUUAAACUGGCAAGUGGAAAUGUUUAAACAGUUCAGUGAUCUUUAGUGCAUUGUUUUUGUGUGGGUUUCUCUCUCCCCUCCCUUGGUCUUAAUUCUUACAUGCAGGAACACUCAGCAGACACACGUAUGCGAAGGGCCAGAGAAGCCAGACCCAGUAAGAAAAAAUAGCCUAUUUACUUUAAAUAAACCAAACAUUCCAUUUUAAAUGUGGGGAUUGGGAACCACUAGUUCUUUCAGAUGGUAUUCUUCAGACUAUAGAAGGAGCUUCCAGUUGAAUUCACCAGUGGACAAAAUGAGGAAAACAGGUGAACAAGCUUUUUCUGUAUUUACAUACAAAGUCAGAUCAGUUAUGGGACAAUAGUAU
rnacentral:lncRNA from 1 species